GGGGCCAUAUUCUCCUAUACUAUCUUCAUGACGAGCACUUACAUUACUAGCUCCCUCAACGUAAAAGGGAAAGAAACAAGGACUUACUCAACUCUAUUGACUCUACUUACUUCCCUUACUGGACAGGAUUAUCAACUAAACUAACGACUGACUCGCUUGAGAGCUUAACUACAUUACUACAAUUUUCACACUUAGAAAACUCACCUACUAACUAGCCCUUAUACUCGUUCCAUUUAUUCCACUCGCUGACUUUUCUAUUAAAAUAGUCUGUAUUGACAAGAGGUUUUAUCCUCGAUCCUUCAGUUAGCUUGCCCAAUCACUGGCAACUAUUUCAUAGCCUCCUCUGGCAACAGGUUCCUCUUCUUUAUGUAACUAUACUUUAUCUCUCUGCACUGGCUUGGCUUUCUAAUAAUCUCUUUCCUUGCCUACGGGAUGUGUACAUGAAUUACUAUUAUCUAAGUAGUAUGCUUUCUAGUUCAAGUAGCAAUUCCUGUCUCUGCUUCGACGGAUGAAAGAGUUAUCUUGAGUUGACCCUGACUAAAGUUCAGAACUUUGCUUCAUUGCGUAAGGGGUUGAAAGGUAAUAUUCAGUAUAAUAAUGGAAGGGUCUUUUCUUUAGCUUUUUUUUUACACUGAACUCUUUGCGGUAGCCGGUGUCGGCUAGCAAGUUGCGGUCACACUGCAAGGCUUGCUUGCUUACCCAUUUUGAUCUGACCCUAAAUAAAGUCUUUCUGUUCCUGAUUGAACUCCUUCAUGCCAUUGAUUGAUGACUUCGUAUCUUGUGUAAGAAAUAUUCCAUCAAGUUUAUAGAGACUGAAAGCAGCCUAAACUGGAUCAAUAGAAUAGAACACAGGUAAGGACGAAUGCGAGAGAAUGAGACUCGUAGGUAGUAUUUGUUACUUGCACCGGUCGUUACACCGACGCCAAAUUAAGGCCGGCCGACAUGGAGCCAUGCGCAUGAUUCCAAGAGUCACUAGAGGCGUAAGAAUAACCAGUAACGAAUGGAUGAAGCAAGCACUUUUAGAUGGUAUCGAUCAGAGCCAAUCAACCCUUUUCCCUGAUUAUCGUCACUUAAAUCCCACUAGCCGAAAUUGAAUCCGUCAAGUAAGAGAUAAGCCAGAGAUCCAGAUCAUUAGAAUACGUCACCGGUCCGAGACGAGAUGGGCCUUCUCGCGAAAAAGAGUAGGUUAUUCCUAUCACUAGGAGUAGUAGCGCUAGCGGCGCAGAAGGAUAAAGUAGCUAAGCGCUAAAAAGCUAUCUAGAUAGUUUCCAGCUGAGGGAUAUUGGCUUAGAUUGGUCUUAGCUUCGACUCGUAGUCUUCGACCACUCUUCUUCUUAUCCCCCUUGCUUCCAUUCAGGUAGCGCUGAGAAAUGGCCUAAAAAAGUAAAGUCUUAUUCCACUUGCUUUCUCGCUUGACUUGAAAACUGGAAAAACGGCAGCUAUCGGAAAUAAAACAAACAAGGAGUUUACUAAUAAGGCUUUUUUUUUUAGAGAGAGAGUCUGGGGGUUUUGCUUGCUGGCUCUCAGGGCUUAUAGUCGGUUCUGUUCUUAUUUUUGGUAUUCCCUUUCAUUAGCUACGCUCAGGUUUCACCAACUUCGCGUCGGGUUCACUUCAGUUAAAUCUUGUUAAAGCAAACCAACGGUUGGUUGAACCUUAGGUAGCGAAAGGAACCUUCUAGCUAACCGGGUAAAUUCAAACUCACUACAUACUCCAUGGAAUUGAGAACCCGGCGUAAUUGGUUUUAUCCAGCGGCUCUUUUUCCUAUAUUCUUUCAGAUGGCCCUGCUACGUCUGCCCACUACAGAACAGGCCUGACUCCCGUGAGCAGGUCCGCUGGCUCUUAGUAUGGCUUUUGACUUUUCUGAUCCGGCAUGAUAAAAACUCGAACUCAACUUCUAUUCUUUCAAGAGCAAGAGAAAGGCACCGAGAUCCCGCCGUCGUUUGCCCUAUGCCAAUAGGAUCGACUUGGGUAGUAAGAUUAAAUUGUUAUAUUAAAAAAUACGAAAGUCAGGGGCCGGGAUCAAAGGGUUGUUCUAAAGGACUGUAAAUCCUUGCUCCUAGGAUCCAAGAAGGGGUUUUUGGUUUAUAAAUUACUAAUUACAUAACUUACUACCCUACUAGUGUAGUGUCUACUGACUGAGUCGUGAAUUAGAUUGGAUGGGCGGAGAAUCAAAUUAGGAGUUGUGGAAAGGACUUAAGAGACUAUGUAUCAAGACUCGCGAUAGGAUUUGAGUGCUCAGUCAUUCAAUAUUUUAUGGGUUAUUUUUUCUUAUAGAAAAAAAGGUUGCUUACUAAGUGCUUGUGCUAAGGGAUGACUUGGUUGCUUUUUUUUUUAUGCCCUUACUAUUGUAUCGAUAGAUCCCGGGAUCAAUACAAAAAAAACCUAUGAAUUAGAGUAGAGCAGUUGACGAUUAUUUCUAAUUUAUUGGAAGAAGAAUAGGUGUAGCGAAAAAUAAAAAUAGGAGCUAGAAAGAAAAGGUAGGUUGAAUCUGAAAAGUACUCUGUGGGGGUAACUAUGUUAAGUUAAUUGCGUAUCGUAAAAAAAAAAUAAUAAUGUUAUGGGAAAGAAAUUGCUACUCUAUUCGAUGGGCCAGGAACAAUCGA
rnacentral:lncRNA from 1 species